rnacentral:rRNA from 1 species
AUUGAACGCUGGCGGCAUGCCUAACACAUGCAAGUCGAACGAGUGGCGGACGGGUGAGUAACGUCUGGGAAACUGCCCGAUGGUGGGGGAUAACUUCUGGAAACGGUAGCUAAUACCGCAUACCAUCGGAUGUGCCCAGAUGGGAUUAGCUUGUUGGUGGGGUAAAGCCUCACCUAGGCGACGAUCCCUAGCUGGUCUGAGAGGAUGACCGGCAACACUGGAACUGAGACACGGUCCAGACUCCUACGAGAGGCAGCAGUGGGGAAUAUUGCGCAAUGGGCGCAAGCAUGAUGCAGCCAUGCCGCGUGUAUGAAGAAGGCCUUCGGGUUGGAAAGUACUUUCAGCGGGGAGGCGUUACCCGCAGAAGAAGCACCGGCUAACUCCGUGCCAGCAGCCGCGGUAAUUC